GGACGAACGCUGGCGGCGUGCUAACACAUGCAAGUCGAGCGAUGAAGCUCCUUCGGGAGUGGAGUUAGCGGCGGACGGGUGGAGUAACACGUGGGUAACCUGCCUCAUAGAGGGGAAUAGCCUUUCGAAAGGAAGAUUAAUACCGCAUAAGAUUGUAGUACCGCAUGGUACAGCAAUUAAAGGAGUAAUCCGCUAUGAGAUGGACCCGCGUCGCAUUAGCUAGUUGGUGAGGUAACGGCUCACCAAGGCGACGAUGCGUAGCCGACCUGAGAGGGUGAUCGGCCACAUUGGGACUGAGACACGGCCCAGACUCCUACGGGAGGCAGCAGUGGGGAAUAUUGCACAAUGGGGGAAACCCUGAAUGCAGCAACGCCGCGUGAGUGAUGACGGCCUUCGGGUUGUAAAACUCUGUCUUUGGGGACGAUAAUGACGGUACCCAAGGAGGAAGCCACGGCUAACUACGUGCCAGCCGCCGC
rnacentral:rRNA from 1 species